rnacentral:misc_RNA from 1 species
GAUUGAAGAACGUAGCGAAAUGCGAUACGUAAUGUGAAUUGCAGAAUUCAGUGAAUCAUCGAGUCUUUGAACGCACAUUGCGCCCCCUGGUAUUCCGGGGGGCAUGCCUGUCCGAGCGUCAUUGCUGCCCUCAAGCACGGCUUGUGUGUUGGGCCUCCGUCCUCCUCCCGGGGGACGGGCCCGAAAGGCAGCGGCGGCACCGCGUCCGGUCCUCGAGCGUAUGGGGCUUCGUCACCCGCUCUUGUAGGCCCGGCCGGCGCUUGCCGACACAUCAAUCUUUUUUCCAGGUUGACCUCGGAUCAGGUAGGGAUACCCGCUGAACUUAAGCAUAUCAAUAAGCGGAGGA